rnacentral:rRNA from 1 species
UAAACUACGAUUAGAUACCCUAUUAUUCUGUAUGUUGAUUAUUAUCCUGAGUAGUAAUAGUUAUGUACUUGAAACUCAAAGAAUUUGGCGGUGUUUUAGUCCUUUCAGAGGAACCUGUCCCUUAAUCGAUAACCCCCGUUUUACUUUACUUAAUUUAGUAAUCAGCCUGUAUACCGCCGUCAUAAGAAUAUUUUUAGAGGUAAUAUUCAAAAUUUGAAAUUAAAAAAUAUGUCAGGUCAAGGUGCGGCCUAUAGUUAAGUGGAGGUGGGUUACAUUGUAUUUAGACAGACGGAUUUGGAGUUGAAAUGAUUAUUGAAGGAGGAUUUGGGAGUAAUUUAAGGAAGAGAACUUUAGUGAUACAGGCUCUAAAACAUGUACACAUC